AAGUCGUAACAAGGUUUCCGUAGGUGAACCUGCGGAAGGAUCAUUACAAAUCAUGUUCACUGGCUGGCUGGUUGGUCAGACUUACUUGUUUGUCUGGCUAGCUAGCUAGGUGAACACAUUGGCACAGGGCAGCAGCACUGCAAGGUGACGCUGCCUUGAUGUUUACGCUUGUUUGUUUGACAGAGUAAAGUGAAGCUAAAAUAUAGACAACUUUUAACAAUGGAUCUCUUGGCUCUU
rnacentral:misc_RNA from 1 species